CUCAUGGAGAGUUUGAUCCUGGCUCAGGAUAGAUGUUGGCGGCAUGAUUAACACAUGUAAGUCAGACGGGAAACACGGGAAGCGGUGUUUCCAGUGGUGGACGAGUGAAUAGCCCGUAAAUACAUGCCCUUGAGAGGGGAACAACAGCUGGAAACGGCUGCUAAUACCCCGUAGGCUGAGGAGAAAAAAGAGGAAUCCGCCCGAGGAGGGGCUUGUUGGUGAGGCAAUAACUUACCAAGACGAUGAUCAGUAUCUGUUCCGAGAGGAUGAUCAGCUAUAUUGGGACUGAGACACAACCAAGACUCCUACGUAAGGCAGUAGUGGGAAUUUUCCGCAAUGGGUGAAAGCCUGACGGAGCAAUGUCGCAUGGAGGUAGAAUGCCCACGGUUCGUGAACUAUUUUUCCCAGAGAAGAAUCAAUGAUGGUAUCUGGGGAAUAAGCAUCGGCUAACUCUGUGCCAGCAGUCGCGGUAAUAAAGAGGAUGCAAGUGCUAUCCAGAAUGAUUAGGCGUUAAGCGUUUGUAGGUGGCUUUUUAAGUCCUCCAUCAAAUCCCAGGACUCAACUCUGGACAGGCGGUGGAAACAACCAAGCUCGAGUACGAUAGAGGCAGAGGGAAUUUUCAGUGAAGCGGUGAAAUACGUAGAGAUCAGAAAGAACACCAACAGUGAAAGCACUCUUCUAGGCUGACACUAACACUGAGCGUUGAAAGCCAGGGAGCAAAUGGGAUUAGAUACCCAGUAGUCCUAGCCGUAAAUGAUGGAUACUAGGCGCUGUGCGUAUCGAUUCGUGCAGUGCUAUAGCUAACGCAUUAAGUAUCCUGCUUGAGAGUACGUUCGCAAGAAUGAAACUCAAAGGAAUUGAUAGGGGCCUGCACAAGCGGUGGAGCAUGUGGUUUAAUUCGAUGCAAAGCAAAGAACCUUACCAGGGCUUGACAUGUCGCGAAUCCUCUUUAAAGAGAGGGGUGCCAUAGGGAACGCGGACACAAGUGGUGCAUGGCUAUCAUCAGCUCGUGCCGUAAGGUGUUUGUUAAGUCUCACAACAAGCACAACCCUCGUGUUUAGUUGCCAUUUUUGAGUUCAGAACCCUGAACAGACUGUCGGUGAUAAGCUGGAGGAAGGUAAGGAUGACGUCAGGUCAUCAUGACCCUUAUGCCCUGGGCGACACACGUGCUGCAAUGGCCGAGACAAAGGGUCACAAUACCGCGAGGGUGAGCUAACCCCAAAAACUCGUCCUCUGUUUUGAUUGCAGGCUGCAGCUCGCCUUUAUGAAACCAGAAUUUUACACACCGACCGUCACACUAUGGGAGUUGGCCAUGCCCGAAGUCGUUACCUUAACAACAAGGAGGGGGAUGCAAAAGGCAAGGCUAGUGGCUGGAGUGAAGUCGUAACAAGGUAGUCGUACUAGAUGUGUGGCUAGAUCUCCUCCUUU
rfam:Solanum lycopersicum cultivar Heinz 1706 chromosome 11, whole genome shotgun sequence.